rnacentral:rRNA from 1 species
GUAGGUGGCAAGCGUUGUCCGGAAUUAUUGGGCGUAAAGCGCGCGCAGGCGGUUCUUUAAGUCUGAUGUGAAAGCCCACGGGCUCAACCGUGGAGGGUCAUUGGAAACUGGAGAACUUGGGUACAGAAGAGGAAAGCGGAAUUCCACGUGUAGCGGUGAAAUGCGUAGAGAUGUGGAGGAACACCAGUGGCGAAGGCGGCUUUCUGGUCUGUAACUGACGCUGAGGCGCGAAAGCGGGGGGAGCAAACAGGAUUAGAUACCCUGGUAGUCCACGCCGUAAACGAUGAGUGCUAAGUGUUAGGGGGUCUCCGCCCCUUAGUGCUGCAGCUAACGCAUUAAGCACUCCGCCUGGGGAGUACGGCCGCAAAGGCUG